AACAAUGUCUUUUUUUAAGUUUUCUUUUAUUCACCCUUCUUGUUUUAGCCAAUGAGAUUGCUCUAUGACAUAUUACAUUUCAAUAUAAAUUAAAAAUUAAACAAUUAUAACAUAUUAAAAAAAAAGUAAAAAAAACAAAGAAAAAAGAAAAGGCUUAAGUACUUCUUUUCUAACUAGAGGGUUUCAACUUUAGUAGAAAAGCUUUUCAUAACCAGGAAUUUUUAUGUUUU
rnacentral:lncRNA from 1 species